rnacentral:rRNA from 1 species
GACGGGUGAGUAACACGUGACUAACCUGCCCUAGAGUGGGGGAUAACCUCGGGAAACCGGGGGUAAUACCGCAUAACAUCACGAGGGGAAGAUCCUUGUGAUCAAAGGAGCAAUUCGCUCAAGGAGGGGGUCGCGGCUGAUUAGCCAGUUGGUGAGGUAACGGCUCACCAAAGCAAAGGUCAGUAGCCGGCCUGAGAGGGCGCACGGCCACACUGGAAGCUGAAACACGGUCCAGACUCCUACGGGAGGCAGCAGUGGGGAAUUUUGCGCAAUGGGGGAAACCCUGACGCAGCAACGCCGCGUGGAGGAUGAAGUCCCUUGGGAUGUAAACUCCUUUCGAUCGGGACGAUUAUGACGGUACCGGAAGAAGAAGCACCGGCUAACUCUGUGCCAGCCGCCGCGG